AAUAGAGGAGCGGGCGAGCAUCAGUACCCCUGCCGCGCGGAACGCGGAAAGUUCCGGCAGGCGGAAAAGGGCAUCCCCGCCGAAGCGCGCCGCCGUUUCCGAGGGCGCCGCUGCUGGGCACGCGGGUCAAUACCUGCGCGACUGUCACCGACGUGGAGAACUAUUC
rnacentral:ncRNA from 1 species